UUUUUUGGAUUCUUUUUUUAACACACUGUAUUAUGACUUGUGAAAUAGCUCAGUGUGGUAGAUAUCUGGUUGGAACACUGGAGGUUGUGAGUUCGAUCCUUAUGUGACACAGUCUGUUUUCAGGUCUAACUCCUAAUGACCAAGUCAAAUAUAC